AAAAAAAUUAAAAAAAAUCAGCUUUUUUCCGCCGAUUACGUGACUUUCCCCUCUUAAAUGUAAAACGCACAAUAUAAUAUUUUAUGCCUUAUAAGAGUUCGCAACGAUCUGCACAUUUCGAGCCGAUUCCUGAAACGACGCCCACUUCUCCCCCCGCGACCGCUCGCCGCUCGAAGGUCGAGCUCGCAACACGCGAGCGGUGCUCUGCCUCAGGAGCGUCCCUAAGUUGAAAAUACGCUUAUACCUUUGUUGUGCGCUCGAACGCACGAUGUUGGACCUAAGUCCGAUUGACGCCGGGUAGGGGGAAUAAGGACCGGUGAGAAGACUUACUGAAGGAAGAAUCCGUUUGGAACAAAGGCGUUUAUUUUAGCACUGUCCAUUAUCACUCACGAGCGUAAAACUCGUAUAACAACGCAGGGACGCGGACUUCUGAUGUUUCUGGGUGUGGAGUACCUCAUUGAAGCAGGGGUGAAGGGUGUAGGCAUGGCCCACAAACUACAGCUCGAGCUUCUCCGCUUCCCCUUCCACACGCGCGAGUCACGUGCACAUACUGUAGCAUAGUAGGGACCGAGAGCGGAGGGGAUAGGUGGAUUGAGGAGUCAGAAGGAAAGACGGGAAGAAGCAAUCGUGCGAAGAGGGAGCAUGUUCUCCUCCUCACAUGCUUCGUGGGCGCCCACGGGACCAUGCCUGUUCUAUUGUAUUAUAAAUGCAUGGUCAUUUAAUAAGAAUUAUUUCUAUAAUUUUUAACCUUUAAGAAUUCUUAAAUAAAAUACGUUAUAUUAUUAUACAUA